rnacentral:rRNA from 1 species
GACGAACGCUGGCGGCGUGCUUAACACAUGCAAGUCGAACGGAAAGGCCCUGCUUUUGUGGGGUGCUCGAGUGGCGAACGGGUGAGUAACACGUGAGUAACCUGCCCUUGACUUUGGGAUAACUUCAGGAAACUGGGGCUAAUACCGGAUAGGAGCUCCUGCUGCAUGGUGGGGGUUGGAAAGUUUCGGCGGUUGGGGAUGGACUCGCGGCUUAUCAGCUUGUUGGUGGGGUAGUGGCCUACCAAGGCGGCGACGGGUAGCCGGCCUGAGAGGGUGACCGGCCACAUUGGGACUGAGAUACGGCCCAGACUCCUACGGGAGGCAGCAGUGGGGAAUAUUGCACAAUGGGCGCAAGCCUGAUGCAGCAACGCCGCGUGCGGGAUGACGGCCUUCGGGUUGUAAACCGCUUUCAGCAGGGACGAAGCUUUUUGUGACGGUACCUGCAGAAGAAGCACCGGCUAACUACGUG